CUGUCUUUUUUUGAAUAUUAUUUUAAUUUAAUUUUUAAGUUAAAAAGCUUAAAUUUUUUUAAAGGACGAGAAGACCCUAUAGAGUUUUAUAAAUUUAUUUAUUUAUAAUUUAAUAAUUUUUUUAUUUUGAUAAAUUUAUUUUAUUGGGGCGAUAAAAAAAUUUAAUAAACUUUUUUAUUUAAUAAAACAUUAAUUAAUGAAAUAUUUUGAUCCUAAAUUUUAGAUUAUUAGAUUAAAUUACCUUAGGGA
rnacentral:rRNA from 1 species